rnacentral:rRNA from 1 species
CCUACGGGAGGCAGCAGUAGGGAAUCUUCCACAAUGGACGCAAGUCUGAUGGAGCAACGCCGCGUGAGUGAAGAAGGGUUUCGGCUCGUAAAGCUCUGUUGUUAAAGAAGAACGUGGGUGAGAGUAACUGUUCACCCAGUGACGGUAUUUAACCAGAAAGCCACGGCUAACUACGUGCCAGCAGCCGCGGUAAUACGUAGGUGGCAAGCGUUAUCCGGAUUUAUUGGGCGUAAAGCGAGCGCAGGCGGUCUUUUAAGUCUAAUGUGAAAGCCUUCGGCUCAACCGAAGAAGUGCAUUGGAAACUGGGAGACUUGAGUGCAGAAGAGGACAGUGGAACUCCAUGUGUAGCGGUGAAAUGCGUAGAUAUAUGGAAGAACACCAGUGGCGAAGGCGGCUGUCUGGUCUGUAACUGACGCUGAGGCUCGAAAGCAUGGGUAGCGAACAGGAUUAGAUACCCUGGUAGUCC